GGGGUUGACCCAAAGCGGUCUCUGGCGUUGAGGUCGCCGCCGUUCUCCGCCAGGAAUUGGACGACAGAAAGGUGUCCGUUCCUGGCAGCGAAGUGAAGGGCGGUCU